AGGGGAAGAGGGAGAGAGGCUGUGGGGAGCCCUGGGGUCAGCACGCAUGUUUCCUGUUUUGAAGACGGGGAGCCCAGCGUGUGUUGCUGCUGCCCGUGGACCAAGCAGCCACCUCACUGGUCUCCCUGCUCUAUGUCUGUACUUUGAAGACGGUCACCAGGGCACCAUCUCCAAGGACGACCGGCCGCUGCUGUCACCCACUUCGCCGGCACACUCAAACCCAAACUGCUGCUAACCUCAGUCACGGCCCCGAGUGCCAACAUCAAACAAGGACGAAUCCCGCCACCCGCUUCCCUGCCGCCACCGCCGCGGCCGCCACGGGCACAGCGCUGGCCGUCCACAGCCACACGUGACUGGCCCCCCCCGAGGCAGCCAUUCCCAAACCAGCGUCACCAGGACGGUCACCAAACACCAACCAGGGACCAUCGCCACCCAGCCCUGGACAACAGCGGCCACCGACCGCCGUCAUUCCACGCAUCAGCCCUGAGCACAACCGGCCACCGGCCACAGGCAUUCGGCACCGGCGGCCAUCAUGGCCACCGCCAACACGCACCCACGGAAUCACCGUCGUCACCACCUUCGCGACAACUGGCGGGGAUGACCGCCAUCACUACCAGCGUUCCACAGCGACCGCUCAACGGGCACACGUCCCCGGCCGCCGCCACCCACCACAGCAACGAAUGGGCAUCGCGCACGGUGACAGUCACCGGAUCCAGGGCACGGCGCACGCUCUCGCAAAGCGCUUUACGUGAACACUGCUUUGUUGGAUCUUUCAACACUCUUCCCGGUGCUGAACGCCCCUCCAGGAAGCCAGCAGCACCCCUGCAGAGAAGUGCUGGCCUCCAGGAGGGGGACCCUCUGGGGUCCCCUCGGGUUGAGUUUCUUCCUUCCCGAAACCCAUCAGGCGAGCACACCACUGACGGGGGAAGCAUAUUGUGCAGCCUCCUUGGGAGGGGUGGCUUUUCUCUCAAGUAGCAAAUCAUUUUGUCUUUUGAUCAGUUUCCCCCUCUGAGCACCCAGACCCUCCUGGCUCGGCUCCUUGCUCGAGGGAUUCCCACCCCCAAGCCUGGAGCUCCAGCUGCCCCGAGGGGACCUUGGGCCGGGGACGCCUGACUUGCCGGCGGCUCUCUGAAGUGAGGAGAGGUCGUGUCUCAGAUGAGCACGGUCCCUGCCGCCUGGUCCACUACGACCCCGCCUCCACCGUGGUCAGGUGCCUGCUGCAACCGGCUGGGUGACUGUCCCAGCCACAUGCCCUCGUUGACAGGAUGACGAGAAAUGAAAGCUGAAGUUCAGGUUUGCAGAUGCGUGGAGCGGUGGGGGCACAUUUUGUCACCAGCCCAGGCUCUCUCAUAACGUGUGUGUUCUGAGGCCCAUGUGUCUCCUGGACCCUGUCACCCCGUCAUCACCAGACCAUCACCCAGGAGGUGAGGCCUCUGGCUGGGGAGUGUCCCCUGCCACACUUGCUCGGAAGGGCUCCAGGAGCAGUGCGGAGAAGCCGGGUCUCACUGUCUACUGUUUCUGCAAUGGCUACAGCCCGACACACGGGCACGCUGUCACAGCACCAUCACGGUCCCCUGCCCCCCGGACACAGCUUCUGCUCGCAGCUGCGGGCUCAGAGUGGCCAGACCCACAGGCCCUCUGACAUUCUGAGAGUUUCCCGGAACACCUUCUCUAUCACAAGUGACUUCCAGAUAUGACAUAUGUGGGAACUGAGGCCCAGAGAGGGGAAGUGGCUUGCCCAAGGCCACACAGGAAGAUGCAGGACCAAGCUGAGCCGGUAACUGGCUCCCUACACCCGGACAAAGGGAAGAACCUUUAGAAUGCUGAGCGAUGUAGAGGGCGCCGAAGGAUGCAGUACCCGGCGCUGCCACAGGAGGGCCUGCCGGAAUCCGGCUGCUGUGCAGGGACUGAGGCCAUCAGGCAGGAGGCUGUGACAUGAUGCUGGAGCACUUGCUUUGAGGCCUGUUUUAACUUCACAUCAGCCCAGCGAGUCUUUGAGGUUCAUCCAUGUUGUAGCAUGGAUAAGCAUGGGAUCCUGCACGGAUAAGCACGGAUCCUGCACGGAUAAGCACGGAUCCUGCACAGAUAAGCACGGGAUCCUGCACGGAUAAGCACGGGAUCCUUCACGGA